AAGCGCAUAGAACAAGAGCCUCGGUAGUAUUACUUAAAGUAUGACAUAAAAUUCUGAAAGCUAUUGUCUAGCAUCUACCGACCUCAUGAUUGACUCCUAUCCCCUUGUCAUGGAGAGCUUACCAAAUCUUUGGUGUGGAGCUUAAAAACUUCCCUACUAUAAUUGCAGCAACAUUUAGAUCCUGGUAUCAAAUUAUCCCAAGAUCUACCAUAAUGGUUCGCAAAAAAUUAUACAGAGAAGAGAUAUAUACACUACG
rnacentral:lncRNA from 1 species